UACGUAGGGGGCAAGCGUUAUCCGGAAUUACUGGGCGUAAAGCGCCCGCAGGCGGUUUGCUGCGUUCAGGGUGACAGUCUUCGGCUUAACCGGGGAAGCGCCUUGAAAACGAGUAGACUUGAGAGCGAGAGAGGGACAUGGAACUCCGAGUGGAGCAGUGAAAUGCGUAGAGCUUCGGAAGAACACCAAUGGCGAAGGCAGUGUCCUGGCUCGUUUCUGACGCUCAUGGGCGAAAGCCAGGGGAGCAAACGGG
rnacentral:rRNA from 1 species